GCGGCACGUGCGAUCGCGCGAACUUUCACGAGCGAGCGCGGUCACCAAGCCCUGACGAGUAGGAGGGUCGCGGCGGUGAGCGCAGAAGGGCUGGCCGCGAGGCCGUCUGGAGCCGCCGUCGGUGCAGAUCUUGGUGGUAGUAGCAAAUACUCCAGCGAGGCCCUGGAGGACUGACGUGGAGAAGGGUUUCGUGUGAACAGCCGUUGCACACGAGUCAGUCGAUCCUAAGCCCUAGGCGAAAGCCGAUGUCGAUGCGGUGUAGUUUUUACGAUAAAUAGAUAGAUAGAUAGAUAGAUAAAUUUACAAAACUACAACAAUACAAACAUUGAUUCGUCAUCUMGUCGUYGAUGUCUUCUUSUCCUCAUCUCUAACUWMUUACGUCUGAGUACUCACCCGUCAGCMSACAGGGAAUCCGGUUCCU
rnacentral:rRNA from 1 species